UUGGAGGGCAAGUCUGGUGUCCAGCAGCCGCGGUAAUUCCAGCUCCAAUAGCGUAUAUUAAAGUUGUUGCAGUUAAAAAGCUCGUAGUUGAAUUUCGAGAUCGGCUUACUGGUCGUGCUUUUGUACGUACUGGUAAAUCGGUUUCUCCUUUCUGACGAACUUUAAUGCCAUUAAUUUGGNGUUUUAGGGAAUCAGGACUGUUACUUUGAAAAAAUUAGAGUGUUUAAAGCAGGCUCACGCUUGAAUACAUUAGCAUGGAAUAACGGAAUAGGACGUUUGAUUCUAUUUAGUUGGUUUCUAGGAUCGACGUAAUGAUUAAUAGGGAUAGUUGGGGGCAUUAGUAUUCAAUUGUCAGAGGUGAAAUUCUUGGAUUUAUUGAAGACUAACUACUGCGAAAGCAUUUGCCAAGGAUGUUUUCAUUAAUCAAGAACGAAAGUUAGGGGAUCGAAGACGAUCAGAUACCGUCGUAGUCUUAACCAUAAACUAUGCCGACUAGGGAUCGGAUGAUGUUAAUUUUUUAAUGACUCAUUCGGCGCCUUACG
rnacentral:rRNA from 1 species